UCCGGGCCCGGGGCCGCAGGGCCUCCGUGUGAGCUGCGUGCCGGAGAGCCGGAGUGAGGCCGACUCACCAGAGGUGGCAGCAACAGGCCAGAUUCACUCUCUAGUCUCCUCCGGAUGCGGCCAAGCUGGUUUCCCACCGACUUUCAUUCGACACGGCACAGACAGGGACUGGGGUGAAAAGCCAUAAAGAUGGCGCUGGCUGUUCGUCUUUUGCCCCGCUUGCUGUUCGCUCCGCCGCUGCCCGGCGGGGCCGGCCGACCCCGGACUCCCCGUGGAGCCGAGGUGAGACCGCCGUUGGCUGAACUCUGCCGCUUCUGCCGCCGCCGCCUCGGCUCCGGACCGGUCCCGCUUCCUCGAGUCACUUGGGCCUCGGCGCUGCCCGCUCGGGGCCCGCAGCGUCCCCUGCUCAGCCCUCCGGGACUACCCGCAGCCCUCUCCGCUUUCCCUGCCUACCCCCGGCGCAGCUACAGCGCCGAGGAGCAGCCCCAGCCGCGCCAGAAAACCAAGAUGAUCAUUCUGGGAUUCUCCAACCCCAUCAACUGGGUUCGGACUCGAAUUUACGCCUUCCUGAUCUGGGCCUAUUUCGACCAAGAGUUCAGCAUCGCAGAAUUCUCUGAGGGAGCGAAGCAGGCUUUUGCUCAUGUGUCCAAGUUGCUGUCACAAUGUAAAUUUGAUCUAUUGGAAGAACUUGUGGCCAAAGAGGUGCUACAUGUAUUGAAGGAAAAGGUUACUUCAUUACCUGAUAACCAUAAAAAUGCCCUUGCUGCUGACAUAGAUGAAAUUGUAUACACAUCAACAGGAGACAUCUCCAUUUACUAUGAUGAGAAAGUGCCAACAUCCCCAGUGAAACUUUAAGUGGAGCCAGUGUAUUCCAGGUUAAAUUGGGGGAUCAGAACGUGGAAACUAAACAACUUCUUAGUGCAAGCUAUGAAUUUCAGAGGGAGUUUACACAAGGAGUAAAGCCUGACUGGACCAUCGCACGGAUUGAACACUCAAAGUUAUUAGAAUGAUCUUUCUUGAAAAAUCAGCUUGUUGGACUUUUGGCAAUUACUAUGAAAAAUUAAGGAAAAAACCAUUUUGGAUCAGUUGAUCUUCACAUAGUCAAGUCUGUGGAUCACUUUUGUAUUAUUUUGAAAUAUUCCUUGUAGUAUAUUGGCAUGGUACAGUAAAGCCUUUUCCACAGAUUAUUAUCACCUUCUAUAAAAGAGAUCAAAGUAAAAAAACUACAACAGCUCA